UGAGACGCAGCCCUUGGCCCCAGCUUCCCAUGGGCAGGGAGCCAGCCGAGCCCCUCAGAGGCGUUCCCCAAGGCUCUGCAGAUGCGGCCCAGGAAGAUGCAGGAAAAGAAGGACAGCCCAGUGUCUGGGGCCCCUCCCAGGGCGAAGAACCGGCAUUCCUACCGCAGCCCAGCAGGGCUGGUCACUCGUCUUAGUGCCCAAGGCUCCAGGUUAAGAGGAGCCACGUGAGCCACGAUGGUCAUCACCAGAUGCUGGGUGCCGUGCUCGAAGCCAGGACCGGCUGAGGCUUUCGGGGGUUGCAUGUUUUGCAUGCAUCAGUGAAGGAGACAUUUGUGACCCACUACUGGGGCAGGUGGUUUCACUUUCCCACCAUUAUGUCCAGAAUUGGUAGGUUCUUGGUCUCACUAACCUCAAGAAUGAAGCCGUGGA
rnacentral:lncRNA from 10 species